rnacentral:rRNA from 1 species
GGAACUGAGGGAGGAGUAGUGAAAUGCGUUGAUACCCUCGGGAACACCAGUGGCGUAGNCGGAUCUCUGGGAGAAGAUUGACACUGAGACACGAAAGCUAGGGGAGCGAAGCAGAUUAGAGACCUGCGUAGUCCUAGCCGUAAACGCAUGCUUGCUAGCUGCAUGAAUCUACCUUCGGGUGGUAUCGUGUGGCGAAGGUAACCCGUUAAGCAAGCCGCCUGGAAAGUACGGCCGCAAGGCUGAAAUCCAAAGGAAUUGGCGGGGAGGCACACAACCAGUGGAACAUGUGGUUUAAUUCGAGACUAACCGAAGAACCUCACCAGGGUUUGACAUGUAGCUGCACGUCUUAAGAAAUUAAGACUCUCUUGAAGGUGCUACACAGGUGCUGCAUGGCUGUCGUCAGCUCGUUCCGUGAGGAGUGCCCUUAAGUGGGACAACGAGCGCAACCCCUAUUACAUGUUAGAAAUGUCAUGUAAGACUGCCUUGCCAUUUGGCGGGGAGGAAGGAGGGGCAGACGUCAAGUCCGCAUGGUCCUUAUGCCCUGGGCUACACACAUGUUACAAUGAGUACGCCAAUGAGUCUGUCGCGAGCACGUAAGUGUAAGCUAAUCUCUUAAAUGUACUCUCAGUGGGGAUUGAGGUCUGCAACUCGACCUCAUGAACACGGAAUUGGUAGUAAUCGCGGGUCAGCUAUACCGCGGUGAUACGUUCUUGCCUCUGCACACACCGCCCGUCAACCAGCAAAGU